UCCGGUUGAUCCUGCCAGAGGUUACUGCUAUCGGAGUUCGAUUAAGCCAUGCGAGUCUAAAGGUUUCUUCGGAAACCUUGGCGGACUGCUCAGUAACACGUGGAUAACCUACCCUUGGGACUGGAAUAAUCCCGGGAAACUGGGGAUAAUACCGGAUAGAUCAGGGAUGCUGGAAUGCACCUUGAUCCAAAGCUCCGGCGCCCAAGGAUGGGUCUGCGACCUAUCAGGUAGUAGUGGGUGUAAUGUACCUACUAGCCAACGACGGGUACGGGUUGUGAGAGCAAGAGCCCGGAGAUGGAUUCUGAGACACGAAUCCAGGCCCUACGGGGUGCAGCAGGCGCGAAACCUUUACAAUGUGCGAAAGCAUGAUAAGGGAACUCCGAGUGCCAGUAUCUAAUACUGGCUGUCCUUGUGCCUAAAACGCACAAAGAUAGCAAGGGCCGGGUAAGACCGGUGCCAGCCGCCGCGGUAACACCGGCGGCCCGAGUGGUAGCCGCUAUUAUUGGGUCUAAAGGGUCCGUAGCCGGUCGAUAGUCCUCUGGGAAUCUGGUUGCUUAACAAUCAGACUGCCAAGGGAUACUGUCGUACUGAGACCGGGAGAGGUAAGAGGUACUUCAGGGGUAGGAGUGAAAUCUUGUAAUCCCUGGGGGACCAUCUGUGGCGAAGGCGUCUUACCAGAACGGGUCUGACGGUGGGGACGAAAGCUGGGGGCGCCAACGGGAUUAGAUACCCGGGGUAGUCCCAGCCGUAAACGAUGCUCGCUAUGUGUCAGGGUACGGGUGUGACCGUAUCUGGUGCCGUAGGGAAGCCGUGAGGCGAGCCAACCUGGGAAGUACGGUCGCAGACUGAAACUUAAAGGGAAUGGCGGGGGAGCACUACAACGGGUGAGCCUGCGGUUUAAUUGGAUUCCACGCGGG
rnacentral:rRNA from 1 species